AUUGAACGCUGGCGGCAUGCCUUACACAUGCAAGUCGAACGGUAACGGGCCUUCGGGUGCCGACGAGUGGCGAACGGGUGAGUAAUGUAUCGGAACGUACCUUUCAGUGGGGGAUAACGUAGCGAAAGUUACGCUAAUACCGCAUAUUCUGUGCGCAGGAAAGCAGGGGACCUUCGGGCCUUGCGCUGAUUGAGCGGCCGAUAUCAGAUUAGCUAGUUGGGGAGGUAAAGGCCCACCAAGGCGACGAGCUGUAGCGGGUCUGAGAGGAUGAUCCGCCACACUGGACUGAGACACGGUCCAGGCUCCUACGGGAGGCAGCAGUGGGGAAUUUUGGUCAAUGGGGGCAACCCUGAUCCAGCCAUGCCGCGCGAGUGAAGAAGGCCUUCGGGUUGUAAAGCUCUUUCGGCCGGGAAGAAAUCGUAUCAGCUAAUACCUGGUGCGGAUGACGGUACCGGCAUAAGAAGCACCGGCUAACUACGUGCCAGCCGCCGCAGUAAAAC
rnacentral:rRNA from 1 species